GACGAGCGCUGGCGGCGUGCUUAACACAUGCAAGUCGAACGGAAAGGCCCUGCUUUUGUGGGGUGCUCGAGUGGCGAACGGGUGAGUAACACGUGAGUAACCUGCCCUUGACUUUGGGAUAACUUCAAGAAACUGGGGCUAAUACCGGAUAGGAGCUCCUGCUGCAUGGUGGGGGUUGGAAAGUUUCGGCGGUUGGGGAUGGACUCGCGGCUUAUCAGCUUGUUGGUGGGGUAGUGGCUUACCAAGGCUUUGACGGGUAGCCGGCCUGAGAGGGUGACCGGCCACAUUGGGACUGAGAUACGGCCCAGACUCCUACGGGAGGCAGCAGUGGGGAAUAUUGCACAAUGGGCGGAAGCCUGAUGCAGCAACGCCGCGUGCGGGAUGACGGCCUUCGGGUUGUAAACCGCUUUCGCCUGUGACGAAGCGUGAGUGACGGUAAUGGGUAAAGAAGCACCGGCUAACUACGUG
rnacentral:rRNA from 1 species